rnacentral:piRNA from 1 species
UAUCACCUGCGAGUUAUUAGCUUGUCC